rnacentral:lncRNA from 1 species
GUAGCACUUCCAAAGUACUUAGAAGAGCCUUAAAGCAUAAUAUCAAACAUGGUAAAAAUGUUGUUUCUGUGCAGUUUUUUAUAUAUAGUCUGAGCAACCCCCCUUUUGGAAUAAUUGGCCUACUCUUGCAGGGAGAGGCUUUACCUGUAGACCUGCUGUGGCUAGAAAAUUGUUAAUUUGAACUUUCAAAUGGCUUCAGCAUAUGUUCCUGCAGUCUGCUGCAUGAGUGCUCUCCUCCUAUCCAGAAAGGACGGGCUUGGCAAGCAGAUCAAGAUGGUUCUCAGAGUGAAUCUUGAUGGGUAUUGAUAAGGAUGUUGAUCACUCAUUGUGGCGUUACCUUCCCAUUGGGAAAUGAGAAGUGACCAUGUAAAAGAAACAAAUCUGGGAGUUUGGUUCCGAACACUUUCAGGAAACACUUACUGAUCUUUUGCUAUCAUCUGACAGCAUUAAGGAAGAAUAUGGGCCAUGUUGUCUUCCCUAUCUGUGUCAUACUCCUGUAAAUAUAAUUGAGGAUAAUGUGGAAUUGUUUGUUUAGAUUGCCCUACUAAACAUGUUGAAACAAUGAAGUCUGUCACAAUGCAGGAUGUUGAUACAAUUCGAGUGUUGUAACUACAAAAAGAUGAGAGAAACCAUGUAUUUGUAUCAUGAGCAAUUGCCUAAGAUUACACUGUGGCUUGUGAAACUUAUAAAUUACUGAAGUUACCUCUAACUCCUAUUAGAACCACACACACACAAAAAAAAAAAGGAAGGAAAAAAGCAACAGACUAUUGCCUGCACUUUCUGUAUUUGG